UGGGGAAUAUUGCGCAAUGGGGGGAACCCUGACGCAGCCAUGCCGCGUGAAUGAAGAAGGCCUUAGGGUUGUAAAGUUCUUUCGGUAUUGAGGAAGGUUGAUGUGUUAAUAGCACAUCAAAUUGACGUUAAAUACAGAAGAAGCACCGGCUAACUCCGUGCCAGCAGCCGCGGUAAUACGGAGGGUGCGAGCGUUAAUCGGAAUAACUGGACGUAAAGGGCACGCAGGCGGUUAUUUAAGUGAGGUGUGAAAGCCCUGGGCUUAACCUAGGAAUUGCAUUUCAGACUGGGUAACUAGAGUACUUUAGGGAGGGGUAGAAUUCCACGUGUAGCGGUGAAAUGCGUAGAGAUGUGGAGGAAUACCGAAGGCGAAGGCAGCCCCUUGGGAAUGUACUGACGCUCAUGUGCGAAAGCGUGGGGAGCAAACAGGAUUAGAUACCCUGGUAGUCCACGCUGUAAACGCUGUCGAUUUGGGGGUUGGGGUUUAACUCUGGCGCCCGUAGCUAACGUGAUAAAUCGACCGCCUGGGGAGUACGGCCGCAAGGUUA
rnacentral:rRNA from 1 species